rnacentral:rRNA from 1 species
GACGAACGCUGGCGGCGUGCCUAACACAUGCAAGUCGAACGGAGUUGAAAGGAGCUUGCUUUUUUCAACUCAGUGGCGGACGGGUGAGUAACGCGUGAGUAACCUGCCUUUCAGAGGGGGAUAACGUUCUGAAAAGAACGCUAAUACCGCAUAAGAUUGUAGUUUCGCAUGGGACAGCAAUCAAAGGAGCAAUCCGCUGAAAGAUGGACUCGCGUCCGAUUAGAUAGUUGGCGGGGUAACGGCCCACCAAGUCGACGAUCGGUAGCCGGACUGAGAGGUUGAUCGGCCACAUUGGGACUGAGACACGGCCCAGACUCCUACGGGAGGCAGCAGUGAGGGAUAUUGGGCAAUGGGGGAAACCCUGACCCAGCAACGCCGCGUGAGGGAUGACGGUUUUCGGAUUGUAAACCUCUGUCCUCUGUGAAGAUAGUGACGGUAGCAGAGGAGGAAGCUCCGGCUAACUACGUGCCAGCAGCCGCGAUAAUACGUAGGGAGCAAGCGUUGUCCGGAUUUACUGGGUGUAAAGGGUGCGUAGGCGGAUUGGCAAGUCAGAAGUGAAAUCCAUGGGCUUAACCCAUGAACUGCUUUUGAAACUGUUAGUCUUGAGUGAAGUAGAGGUAGGCGGAAUUCCCGGUGUAGCGGUGAAAUGCGUAGAGAUCGGGAGGAACACCAGUGGCGAAGGCGGCCUACUGGGCUUUAACUGACGCUGAGGCACGAAAGUGUGGGUAGCAAACAGGAUUAGAUACCCUGGUAGUCCACACUGUAAAC